rnacentral:rRNA from 1 species
GACGAACGCUGGCGGCGUGCUUAACACAUGCAAGUCGAGCGGAAAGGCUCCUUUUUGGGGUACUCGAGCGGCGAACGGGUGAGUAACACGUGAGCAACCUGCCCUAGGCUUUGGGAUAACCCUCGGAAACGGGGGCUAAUACCGGAUAGGACCUCCUGCCGCAUGGUGGGGGGUGGAAAGUUUUUCGGCUUGGGAUGGGCUCGCGGCCUAUCAGCUUGUUGGUGGGGUGAUGGCCUACCAAGGCGGUGACGGGUAGCCGGCUCUGAGAGGGCGACCGGCCACACUGGGACUGCGACACGGCCCAGACUCCUACGGGAGGCAGCAGUGGGGAAUAUUGCACAAUGGGCGGAAGCCUGAUGCAGCGACGCCGCGUGAGGGAUGACGGCCUUCGGGUUGUAAACCUCUUUUAGCAGGGACGAAGCGUGAGUGACGGUACCUGCAGAAGAAGCGCCGGCCAACUACGUGCCAGCAGCCGCAGUAAAAC